rnacentral:rRNA from 1 species
GAUGAACGCUGGCGGCGUGCCUAAUACAUGCAAGUCGAGCGAACAGACGAGGAGCUUGCUCCUCUUACGUUAGCGGCGGACGGGUGAGUAACACGUGGAUAACCUACCUAUAAGACUGGGAUAACUUCGGGAAACCGGAGCUAAUACCGGAUAAUAUAUUGAACCGCAUGGUUCAAUAUUGAAAGACGGUUUUGCUGUCACUUAUAGAUGGAUCCGCGCCGCAUUAGCUAGUUGGUAAGGUAACGGCUUACCAAGGCGACGAUGCGUAGCCGACCUGAGAGGGUGAUCGGCCACACUGGAACUGAGACACGGUCAAGACUCCUACGGGAGGCAGCAGUAGGGAAUCUUCCGCAAUGGGCGAAAGCCUGACGGAGCAACGCCGCGUGAGUGAUGAAGGUCUUCGGAUCGUAAAACUCUGUUAUUAGGGAAGAACAAAUGUGUAAGUAACUAUGCACGUCUUGACGGUACCUAAUCAGAAAGCCACGGCUAACUACGUG